UACAGAGGGGGCAAGCGUUGUUCGGAAUUACUGGGCUUAAAGGGUGCGUAGGUGGGCAAGUAAGUCAGUGGUGAAAUCUCCGGGCUUAACCCGGAAACUGCCAUUGAUACUAUUUGUCUUGAAUACUGUGGAGGUCAGCGGAAUAUGUUAUGUAGCGGUGAAAUGCUUAGAUAUGACAUAGAACACCAAUUGCGAAGGCAGCUGGCUACACAAAUAUUGACACUGAGGCACGAAAGCGUGGGGAUCAAACAGG
rnacentral:rRNA from 1 species